rnacentral:tRNA from 1 species
AUUACCUUGGCAGAUGAAUGUACUAGAUUUAGGAUCUAGUUAUAUAGUGUAUAACUAUAGGUAAUA